rnacentral:rRNA from 1 species
CCCGCACAAGCGGUGGAGCAUGUGGUUUAAUUCGAUGCAACGCGAAGAACCUUACCUGGGCUUGACAUCCCGGGAAUCCCUUGGAAACAAGGGAGUGCCUUCGGGAACCUGGAGACAGGUGCUGCAUGGCUGUCGUCAGCUCGUGUCGUGAGAUGUAGGGUUAAGUCCCGCAACGAGCGCAACCCUUGUCUUUAAUUGCCAUCAUUGAGUUGGGCACUUUAAAGAGACUGCCGGUGUUAAACCGGAGGAAGUGGGGAUGACGUCAAGUCCUCAUGGCCUUUAUAUCCAGGGCUACACACGUCCUACAAUGACCGGUACAAAGGGAAGCAAGACCGCGAGGUGGAGCAAAUCCCAAAAAGCCGGCCUCAGUGCGGAUUGCAGUCUGCAACUCGACUGCAUGAAGUUGGAAUCGCUAGUAAUCGCAGAUCAGCACGCUGCGGUGAAUAAGUUCUCGGGUUUU